rnacentral:rRNA from 1 species
UACGUAGGGUGCAAGCGUUAAUCGGAAUUACUGGGCGUAAAGCGUACGCAGGCGGCUUUGCGUGUCUUUCGUGAAAUCCCUCGGCUCAACUGAGGACGUGCGGAAGAAACUGCAGGGCUGGAGUCCGGGAGAGGAGGGUGGAAUUCCCAGUGUAGCGGUGAAAUGCGUAGAUAUUGGGAGGAACACCGGUGGCGAAGGCGGCCCUCUGGACCGGUACUGACGCUGAUGCGCGAAAGCGUGGGGAGCAAACGGG